UGUUCCAAUUUAGUGCUCUGCCAUUCCCACUACCAGCCAUAUCAUCAAGUCUUUCUCUCUCGCAAAAUUUGGGAAACCCACAGACAGACCCCAUCCCUUUUUUUUUCCACUCACAGCCACAAUCACGACUCACGAGAAGAGAACGGAAGGCAAUGUAGCAGCAGCUACGUCGCAUUUCUCCUCCACCGUGACAUCCACAACGUCGCUGGUCACGAACACGAAGGCAGUGCAGCAACGAGAGAACACAGUGCACAGAGAACACAAAGCCACCAUCGGAGUGCGAGUCAAGGAUGAUUCUGACCACCACCACCGUAUAGACAGUUAUGUUGUUGAUGUUGCUGAUGUAGAUAAUCUUAGGAUAUCAACAAGUGACCUUUGCAAAACAAACCAUCAUUUAUCUGUGUUUUCCAUAUUUUGAAUUUGUUUGGAUUUUGAUAAUGCUCCUAUUUUUAGCUUACAUUAAAUCACAGUUCAUGGACUAUUAUACUAAUGUGGAUCGUGACUACUAGUGGUAGUGGUAGAUUUAUGUUUAAUGCUUAGUUGAAAAUGAACUUGUUUUAUUUCUUUGCCUUUGUCAAUAGUGACAGGCAAAUUUGUUUGGCUUCGUGAAUAGCCAUGUUUCAUGAUAAUACCCUGAAUUGAACAUGUUUGAUGUAGCUGAGUUGUUUGUGUUGUGAUAAUUUCCUUUAUAACA